rnacentral:rRNA from 1 species
UACGUAGGGGGCAAGCGUUGUCCGGAAUCAUUGGGCGUAAAGAGCGUGUAGGCGGUCCGGUAAGUCGGCUGUGAAAGUCCAGGGCUCAACCCUGGGAUGCCGGUGGAUACUGUCGGGCUCGAGUCCGGAAGAGGCGAGUGGAAUUCCUGGUGUAGCGGUGAAAUGCGCAGAUAUCAGGAGGAACACCAAUGGCGAAGGCAGCUCGCUGGGACGUGACUGACGCUGAGACGCGAAAGCGUGGGGAGCAAACAGG